GAAAAUGUGGUUAGCCAGAUUUCUAGCUGCAUAUAUGUGAAGUAAAGGAAACUAUUAUACAUGUGAUAGAUCUAGAUUUAACAAAAACCCGGUCUACCAGCUAUAAACUGGUGCUGUUCAAGAGAGUAAUAAUGGAGUGCCUAGCACUGUGGUGCACAAGAAAAAAAGAGAAAAAAAUAGAAAGCUGCAACUUCAGUGAGAAAAGAAAACAAUCAAACAGAACUUGGAUAUAUAAUGAGUUAAAAUACAGACAGCAAUUCACUUUAGUAGGAUUUUAUCAGUGACUGAAAAAAGAAAAAUAUUUAGAUUUAUAAAAGGCUGGAAUCAAUAUUUGACAUGUUGUAGUGAUGAAAUAUUCUGUUAUAUUUCUUCAGGAAAAUUGCAAACAAACUUUAAAUAAAUGUUAGAUUUCUUUUUGUUAAACUUUAACAAAAUCACAACUAUUUGAAAAUAAAAUACGUACUAAAUAA